UACGUAGGGGGCGAGCGUUGUCCGGAUUUAUUGGGCGUAAAGAGCUCGUAGGCGGCUUGGCGAGUCGGGUGUGAAACCUCCAGGCUCAACCUGGAGACGCCACUCGAUACUGCCAUGGCUAGAGUCCGGUAGGGGACCACGGAAUUCCUGGUGUAGCGGUGAAAUGCGCAGAUAUCAGGAGGAACACCGGUGGCGAAGGCGGUGGUCUGGGCCGGCACUGACGCUGAGGAGCGAAAGCGUGGGUAGCAAACAGG
rnacentral:rRNA from 1 species